rnacentral:rRNA from 1 species
UUCUGGACUGACACUGACACUGAGGUGCGAAAGCGUGGGUAGCAAACAGGUUUAGAUACCCUGGUAGUCCACGCCGUAAACGAUGUCGACCAGCCGUUGGGUGCCUAGCGCACUUUGUGGCGAAGUUAACGCGAUAAGUCGACCGCCUGGGGAGUACGGCCGCAAGGUUAAAACUCAAAUGAAUUGACGGGGGCCCGCACAAGCGGUGGAGCAUGUGGUUUAAUUCGAUGCAACGCGAAGAACCUUACCUACUCUUGACAUCCUGCGAAUUUGGUAGAGAUACCUUAGUGCCUUCGGGAACGCAGAGACAGGUGCUGCAUGGCUGUCGUCAGCUCGUGUUGUGAAAUGUUGGGUUAAGUCCCGUAACGAGCGCAACCCUUGUCCUUAUUUGCCAGCGCGUAAUGGCGGGAACUCUAAGGAGACUGCCGGUGACAAACCGGAGGAAGGUGGGGACGACGUCAAGUCAUCAUGGCCCUUACGAGUAGGGCUACACACGUGCUACAAUGGUCGGUACAAAGGGUUGCCAACUCGCGAGAGUGAGCCAAUCCCGAAAAGCCGAUCUCAGUCCGGAUCGGAGUCUGCAACUCGACUCCGUGAAGUCGGAAUCGCUAGUAAUCGUGGAUCAGAAUGCCACGGUGAAUACGUUCCCGGGCCUUGUACACACCGCCCGUCACACCAUGGGAGUGGACUGCACCAGAA